rnacentral:rRNA from 1 species
AGAGUUUGAUCAUGGCUCAGGAUUAACGCUGGCGGUAUGCCUAAUACAUGCAAGUCGAACGAAAAUCUUCGGAUUUUAGUGGCGAACGGGUGAGUAACGUAUGUUUAAUCUACCUUGUAGUUUGGAAUAACCAUUGGAAACGAUGGCUAAUACUGAAUACUAUUUAUAAUGGAAUCUUUAUAAAUUAAAAGGGGCGUUUGCCCCGCUAUAAGAUGAGAACAUAUUACAUUAGCUAGUUGGUAGGGUAAAGGCCUACCAAGGCAAUGAUGUAUAGCCGAGCCGAGAGGUUGAUCGGCCACAAUGGGACUGAGACACGGCCCAUACUCCUACGGGAGGCAGCAGUAGGGAAUUUUUCACAAUGGACGAAAGUCUGAUGAAGCAAUACCGCGUGAGGGAAGACGGUUUUAGGACUGUAAACCUCUGUUAUAAGGGAAGAAUAUGUCGGAGAGGAAAUGCUCCGUGCAGUGACGGUACUUUAUUAGAAAGUCACGGCUAACUAUGUGCCAGCAGCCGCGGUAAUACAUAGGUGGCAAGCGUUAUCCGGAUUUAUUGGGCGUAAAGAGUGCACAGGUGGUUAUAUAAGUUUGAUGUUAAAGACCGAAGCUCAACUUCGGUUCGCAUUGAAAACUGUAUAACUAGAAUGCAGGUGGGAAUAGUGGAAUUCGAUGUGUAGCGGUGGAAUGCAUAAAUAUAUCGAGGAACACCAGUGGCGAAGGCGGCUAUUUGAACUGUAAUUGACACUUAAGCACGAAAGCGUGGGGAGCAAAUAGGAUUAGGUACCCUAGUAGUCCACGCCGUAAACGAUCUAGAUUAGAUGUCGGAAUUAUUCGGUAUCGCAGCUAACGCAUUAAAUCUAGCGCCUGGGUAGUACGCACGCNAGUGUAAAACUCAAAGGAAUUGAC